rnacentral:rRNA from 1 species
GGAGUUAGCCGGUGCUUCUUCUGUGAGUGAUGUCCUUCCUGCCGGCUAUUAACCCGCAGGCCUUCUUCCUCACUGAAAGUGCUUUACAACCCGAAGGCCUUCUUCACACACGCGGCAUGGCUGGAUCAGGGUUGCCCCCAUUGUCCAAUAUUCCCCACUGCUGCCUCCCGUAGGAGUCUGGGCCGUGUCUCAGUCCCAGUGUGGCUGAUCAUCCUCUCAGACCAGCUACGGAUCGUCGCCUUGGUGAGCCGUUACCUCACCAACCAGCUAAUCCGACAUAGGCUCAUCCGAUAGCGCGAGGCCCGAAGGUCCCCCGCUUUCCCCCGUAGGGCGUAUGCGGUAUUAGCCUGGGUUUCCCCAGGUUAUCCCCCGACUACCGGGCAGAUUCCUAUGCAUUACUCACCCGUCCGCCGCUCGCCACCAGGGAGCAAGCUCCCCGUGCUGCCGCUCGACUUGCAUGUGUUAGGCCUGCCGCCAGCGUUCAAUCUGAGCCAGNGACAACAACUCGACUCGAGCGGCGGUGUCGACGACGGCGACUAG